rnacentral:rRNA from 1 species
GUGUCCCUACGGGGGGCAGCAGUGGGGAAUAUUGCACAAUGGGGGGAACCCUGAUGCAGCGACGCCGCGUGGGUGAAGGAGUAUUUCGGUAUGUAAAGCCCUAUCAGCAGGGAAGAACAAUGAUGGUACCUGACUAAGAAGCACUGGCUAAAUACGUGCCAGCAGCCGCGGUAAUACGUAUGGUGCAAGCGUUAUCCGGAUUUACUGGGUGUAAAGGGAGCGUAGGCGGCCUGGCAAGCCUGAUGUGAAAUACCGGGGCCCAACCCCAGGGCUGCAUUGGGAACUGCCAGGCUGGAGUGCCGGAG